UACGAAGGGGGCUAGCGUUGCUCGGAAUUACUGGGCGUAAAGGGAGCGUAGGCGGAUAGUUUAGUCAGAGGUGAAAGCCCAGGGCUCAACCUUGGAAUUACCUUUGAUACUGGCUAUCUUGAGUACGGAAGAGGUAUGUGGAACUCCGAGUGUAGAGGUGAAAUUCGUAGAUAUUCGGAAGAACACCAGUGGCGAAGGCGACAUACUGGUCCGUUACUGACGCUGAGGCUCGAAAGCGUGGGGAGCAAACAGGG
rnacentral:rRNA from 1 species